rnacentral:rRNA from 1 species
GAUGAACGCUGGCGGCGUGCCUAAUACAUGCAAGUCGAGCGAACAGACGAGGAGCUUGCUCCUCUGACGUUAGCGGCGGACGGGUGAGUAACACGUGGAUAACCUACCUAUAAGACUGGGAUAACUUCGGGAAACCGGAGCUAAUACCGGAUAACAUGUUGAACCGCAUGGUUCAACAGUGAAAGACGGUUUUGCUGCCACUUAUAGAUGGAUCCGCGCCGCAUUAGCUAGUUGGUAAGGUAACGGCUUACCAAGGCAACGAUGCGUAGCCGACCUGAGAGGGUGAUCGGCCACACUGGAACUGAGACACGGUCCAGACUCCUACGGGAGGCAGCAGUAGGGAAUCUUCCGCAAUGGGCGAAAGCCUGACGGAGCAACGCCGCGUGAGUGAAGAAGGUCUUCGGAUCGUAAAACUCUGUUAUUAGGGAAGAACAAAUGUGUAAGUAACUAUGCACGUCUUGACGGUACCUAAUCAGAAAGCCACGGCUAACUACGUG